rnacentral:rRNA from 1 species
AUACGGAGGGUGCAAGCGUUAAUCGGAAUUACUGGGCGUAAAGCGCACGCAGGCGGUUUGGUAAGUCAGAUGUGAAAUCCCCGGGCUCAACCUGGGAACUGCAUCUGAUACUGGCAGGCUUUAGGCCCGCAGAGGGGGGUAGAAUUCCAGGUGUAGCGGUGAAAAGCGUAGAGAUCUGGAGGAAUACCGGUGGCGAAGGCGGCCCCCUGGACGAAGACUGACGCUCAGGUGCGAAAGCGUGGGGAGCAAACAGGAUUAGAUCCCCUGGUAGUCCACGCCGUAAACGAUGUCGACUUGGAGGUUGUGCCCUUGAGGCGUGGCUUCCGGAGCUAACGCGUUAAGUCGACCGCCUGGGGAGUACGGCCGCAAGGUUAAAACUUAAAGGAAUUGGCGGGG